GAUGAACGCUAGCGAUAGGCUUAACACAUGCAAGUCGCGGGGCAGCACAAGGUAGCUUGCUAUCUGGGUGGCGACCGGCGCACGGGUGCGUAACGCGUAUGCAACUUGCCCUAUACAGGAGGAUAACCCGUCGAAAGACGGACUAAUACUGCGUAUGCUCACAACUUGGCAUCAAGUGGUGAGGAAAGAAAUUCGGUAUAGGAUAGGCAUGCGUCCCAUUAGCUUGUUGGUGAGGUAACGGCUCACCAAGGCAACGAUGGGUAGGGGAACUGAGAGGUUUAUCCCCCACACUGGUACUGAGACACGGACCAGACUCCUACGGGAGGCAGCAGUGAGGAAUAUUGGUCAAUGGGCGCGAGCCUGAACCAGCCAAGUCGCGUGAAGGAGGACUGUCUUAUGGAUUGUAAACUUCUUUUAGACGAGAAAAACAAGAGUCACGGGUGACUCCCUGCAUGUACCGAAUGAAUAAGCAACGGCUAACUCCGUG
rnacentral:rRNA from 1 species